GGUUAAGCGACUAAGCGUACACGGUGGAUGCCCUGGCAGUCAGAGGCGAUGAAGGACGUGCUAAUCUGCGAUAAGCGCCGGUAAGGUGAUAUGAACCGUUAUAACCGGCGAUUUCCGAAUGGGGAAACCCAGUGUGACUCGUCACACUAUCAUUAACUGAAUCCAUAGGUUAAUGAGGCGAACCGGGGGAACUGAAACAUCUAAGUACCCCGAGGAAAAGAAAUCAACCGAGAUUCCCCCAGUAGCGGCGAGCGAACGGGGAGGAGCCCAGAGCCUGAAUCAGCAUGUGUGUUAGUGGAAGCGUCUGGAAAGGCGCGCGAUACAGGGUGACAGCCCCGUACACAAAAGCGCAUGUGCUGUGAGCUCGAUGAGUAGGGCGGGACACGUGGUAUCCUGUCUGAAUAUGGGGGGACCAUCCUCCAAGGCUAAAUACUCCUGACUGACCGAUAGUGAACCAGUACCGUGAGGGAAAGGCGAAAAGAACCCCGGCGAGGGGAGUGAAAAAGAACCUGAAACCGU
rnacentral:rRNA from 10 species